GGGAUGACGGAAAUUCGUUCCAAAAUACAUCAUACACCCACCCAGUCGGAAACAACAACAACCAAAAAGGAAAUACAAUUAUACCUUUAUCCAACGUGUGGUGACUAAAAGGUACAUUAGGUACAAUCACUGGAUUUUAGGUACAAUCUUUGAUCAGAUUCAUUUUUCUUUUUCCUUUACCGUGCUAAUAUAUUUAUUUGUAGGCAUGGGAGAAGCUUCUAAAGAAAAGUGGUCAAAAGCAAUUAUAAUGGCCACUGCGAAAAACUAACACUUUACUUAGCUAUCCUCCAAUUCAUAAUUCUUGUUAUAUUUUUUAUAAUCGAAAUUUGAACUGAUUUCUACCAUAAAACGUCAUUGCACCCUAGACUGACUCCCAUUUCGAAUGAUGGUGUGAAAUCUACAAACGCUCUACCUUUGCAAUUGGUGGAAUGCAUUUUUUAAUCUAUUGAAACCAUAAAAACCAAAGUUCCCCGCAUAUGAAAACGUUUAAUUUUCUAUUAAUUUUAUUCGCACGCACAGCCCUUUGUCUGGGAUUCGUCAAAUUGAUGAUUGCUUUUCAACUUUCCGUAAUGGCUUUCAACUGGAUGUGAUUUACACAGAUUUUUCGAAAGCCUUCGACAAAAUCUCCCACAAUAUCUUAUUAACAAAGUUAGAAUGUUUAGGAAUCCACUCAGGUUUCUUGGAGUGGAUCAGGUCCUACUUGCGCUUGAGAACUAGCAAGGUGACUAUUGAUGGUGUUUCGUCCAAGCCAUUUAUUGCUCUCUCAGGGGUUCCUCAGGGAAGCAUCUUAGGCCCAUUAUUUUUUAUUCUUUUCAUUAACGACAUCAGCUCCUGUCUUUCAAAUGUUAGGUUUCUCUUGUUUGCCGAUGAUCUGAAAAUAUAUUCGGAAAUCAGUUGCUCACGAGACUCGGCCUAACUUCAAUCGCAGCUUAACAGGUUUUAUACGUGGUGUGUUCAGAAUCGGCUUACCCUCAACAUCAAUAAAUGCCACAAAGUAUCCUAUUAUAAAUCAAAAGUGCCUCUUAUGACAUCUUACUCCAUCGCAGAUAUUGUCCUUGACUCGAAAAGUGAGACUAAAGAUCUUGGAGUACACUUCGACUCAAAACUCACUUUCACUCUGCACAUAAACAAAACUAUUGCUGAUUCUUUUGCCAUGCUGGCAUUCGUUAGGCGUCAUUCUUCCGAGUUCACUGACCCUUAUACUAUUAAGAUGCUAUAUACUGCGUUUGUGCGUUCCAAAUUGGAAUACGCUGCCUUUAUUUGGAGACCGAGUCACGCAGUUCAUAUCAAUCGUUUGGAAAAGGUGCAGAAGUUUACCUACUCUGCACAAUCGGAGAACUUGUCAUGCUAUCUCGUUUUUAUUGAGUAUUGUCUCGGGAAAAAUUGAUUGUGCGUCCCUACUUGAGAGAAUCCAUUUUUAUGUUCCGAGUCGUAAUUUUCGUCGCUUCGAUGUCUUCAAGGUUGGGUUAAGCAGAACGGCUUAUGGUGCAAACGCGCCAAUAAACAGAACCUUAUCGGACUAUAAGUAUUUCUCAAAUUUGUUAGACAUAUAUUUUACCAAUCCUAGUAAAACCGCAUUAUAUUUGGAAAAUUACCUUAUGUCCGGUCAAUAAUAUCUGCUCAAUAUCUGUAUUUCUUGUAACCUUAUAAACGCAACUUUUAAGUAGUAAUAUUAAAUAAUAUUAAGACUGAUUUGUUAUAUUUAAUUAUACUCUUAAUGUCUGUUAAAACAUUCUGUUAUUAGACAUAAAAAAAAAAUAAAUAAAUAAAUUUCAUAUCUUCUAUAGUUGAGACAAUA
rnacentral:lncRNA from 1 species